ACACAGGAGCAGCUACUGGAGCUGGGA
rnacentral:sRNA from 1 species